rnacentral:lncRNA from 1 species
AACCUCAAAGAAAUUACAAAGAAACAAUAAGAGAUCUUAAAAAAAUAUUAGAAUGAUCACAAAUAUAUCUCAAAUACAUCUCAAUUCAAUCUUAAUUUAAUCCUAGUUAAAAUCCUAUUGAACUUCAUUCAAAUAUUAGGCAAAAAACUAACUAAAACUUAAAUCUUAGACAAACUCUAAUAAAAUUCUAAACCCUAAACCAAAUCCUAAUCAAACCUUAAAUUCUAAAUCAAAUCCUACACAAAUCCUAAACCCUAAAUCAAAUCCUAAAACAUCCUAAAUCCUAAACCAAAUUCUAAUCAAAUCCUAACCAAAUCCUAAUCCUAAAUCAAACUCUAGUUAAAUCUUAAUCCUAAAUCAAAUCCUAAUCAAA